rnacentral:rRNA from 1 species
GGCGAACGCUGGCGGCGUGCCUAAUACAUGCAAGUCGAGCGCAGGAAACUGACGGAACUCUUCGGAGGGAAGGCAGUGGAAUGAGCGGCGGACGGGUGAGUAACACGUAAGGAACCUGCCUCAAGGAUUGGGAUAACUCCGAGAAAUCGGAGCCAAUACCGGAUAGUUCAUCGGACCGCAUGGUCCGCUGAUGAAAGGCGCUUCGGCGUCACCUUGAGAGGGCCUUGCGGUGCAUUCGCUAGUUGGUGGGGUAACGGCCCACCAAGGCGACGAUGCAUAGCCGACCUGAGAGGGUGAUCGGCCACACUGGGACUGAGACACGGCCCAGACUCCUACGGGAGGCAGCAGUAGGGAAUCUUCCACAAUGGACGAAAGUCUGAUGGAGCAACGCCGCGUGAGUGAUGAAGGUUUUCGGAUCGUAAAACUCUGUUGUAAGGGAAGAACACGUACGAGAGGGAAUGCUCGUACCUUGACGGUACCUUACGAGAAAGCCACGGCUAACUACGUGCCAGCAGCCGCAGUAA